UGUAAGACUGGGAUAACUCCGGGAAACCGGAGCUAAUACCGGAUAGUUCCUUGAACCGCAUGGUUCAAGGAUGAAAGACGGUUUCGGCUGUCACUUACAGAUGGACCCGCGGCGCAUUAGCUAGUUGGUGGGGUAAUGGCUCACCAAGGCGACGAUGCGUAGCCGACCUGAGAGGGUGAUCGGCCACACUGGGACUGAGACACGGCCCAGACUCCUACGGGAGGCAGCAGUAGGGAAUCUUCCGCAAUGGACGAAAGUCUGACGGAGCAACGCCGCGUGAGUGAUGAAGGUUUUCGGAUCGUAAAGCUCUGUUGUUAGGGAAGAACAAGUGCGAGAGUAACUGCUCGCACCUUGACGGUACCUAACCAGAAAGCCACGGCUAACUACGUGCCAGCAGCCGCGGUAAUACGUAGGUGGCAAGCGUUGUCCGGAAUUAUUGGGCGUAAAGGGCUCGCAGGCGGUUUCUUAAGUCUGAUGUGAAAGCCCCCGGCUCAACCGGGGAGGGUCAUUGGAAACUGGGAAACUUGAGUGCAGAAGAGGAGAGUGGAAUUCCACGUGUAGCGGUGAAAUGCGUAGAGAUGUGGAGGAAC
rnacentral:rRNA from 1 species